rnacentral:rRNA from 1 species
UACGUAGGGUGCAAGCGUUGUCCGGAAUCAUUGGGCGUAAAGCGCGCGUAGGCGGCCCGAUAAGUCCGCUGUAAAAGUCAACGGCUCAACUGGGGGGCGUCGUGCGAUACGGUCGGACUGGAGGCCAGUAGGGGGAUGCGGAAUUCCGGGUGUAGUGGUGGAAUGCGUAGAGAUCCGGAGGAACACCAGCGGCGAAGGCGGCAUCCUGGACUGGUCCUGACACUCAGGAGCGAAAGCGUGGGGAGCGAUCCGG